rnacentral:lncRNA from 10 species
CAACCAUUUACAUUUAAAUUGAUUACUGAUAAGUGAGUACUUACAAUUGCCUUUUCUUAGUUGUUUCUGUCUGUCUUGUAGCUCUUUAGUCCUUUUCUUUUCUUGCUCUCUUCCUUUGUAAUUUUGUUGACUGUUUGCAGCUGUUGGAGGCCGCACAAAUGUUUCUUAUAAUGAGGCAUAAUUGAAGCCUGUCAGUAACAAUAUGAACCUGUGGUCAAUUAAGCAGCUGACCAAUCGUUACCUCCUCCUUCUUGCUCUUGUUACCCAAUAAAUAAGAAGGGUUGUGGAAGCUCAGGGGCUGCCUUUCCUCACUAGAAGCAGGGAGCUCUCUUCUUCCCCAUGCUAGCCUUUCCUUAAAAUAGUUACUUUUGUUUUCUGUUAUGAUUUCUAUGUUCGUCCGUUCAUUCAGUCUUGUAAUGACAGUCUCAAGCAGUAACAGCAGUAACUGCUGUAAUGACGGUCUCAAGUAGUAGUAGUGGCAGUCGGCCACAUUUUAUAAUUUCUAUCUCUUUGCUGAUAUUCUCAUUUUGAUUAUGUAUCAUUUUCCUGAGCUCACUGAGCACCUUAAUGUCUGUCAUUUUAAAUUUUUUCACAGAUAAUCUAUAUACUUUCACUUCUUUAUGACCAGUUUCUAGAGUUUUAGUUUGGAAUGGACCACGUUUUAUUGUUUUACCAUGCGUCUUGUAACUUUUUGUUGAAAUUCAUUCAUUUGAAAAACAACCACUUCUCCCCAUCUUUGAAGAUAGACAUCAUACAGGGAGAAGACAGAAACUGGAAGUUCCUUCUCAAUUGGACUUUACUGAGCUAGCAGGAAACAAUAUGAUUGAAAAUGAAAAUAUCUUUUGCUUCACUUCUUAUACGACAGAGAAAGCGUAAUCCGGAACAAAGCCAUACCUGUCUCCUGCCUCCUGACCUGCCUCACACUCCUCUACCUGAAUGCACUUGUGAACUUCAGAAUUUUGAAGCUCUGUCUCCUGACAUCACAGAUAGACAAGCACUGAACUUGGCAGGAAAAUCAGUAGGAGUAAGUGGCGGAGGCAUGGGACUGGCAGAGAUACGGCAGCCCCUGUGGAGAGGCUGUCUACAGAUAACAUAACAAUAACAACAGGAUCUGCGGGGUUCCUGCAUGCGUGUUGGCUUCACUGGAGAAACUAAUCAAGUGGUGCAGUUUGGACACAGAGACUGACACACAGGAAGAAUACCAUGUGAAGACUGGAGUUUUGCAUAGAGAAGCCAAGGAGCUACCAGAAGCUAGGAGAAUGGCCUGGAACAGACCUUUCCUUAGUGCCUUCAGAGAGAGCAUGGCGCUGCCAACAUCUUGAUCUCAGACUUCCAGCAUCCUGAAUUGUGAGAUAAAUUUCUGCUGUUUAAACCAUAUAAUUUGUGAUACUUUGCUAUGGCAACUGUCACAGCUAUUAUAAGCACCUAACCCUUUUUUUAAUCUUUUAAGAAACUUUUUGCUUUCAUCUACUUUUUUUGUUCUGGUUAUUCCAUAUUUUACUUUAAGAUUUAGUCUUCUGUCAAUAAAGCAAUAAUUUCAGAUCAAUUUCAAUAAAAAAUUAAUAAUGUCCAAACA